rnacentral:lncRNA from 1 species
AUAUGGCUGGAAAAGUUGGUAAACACAAAGGAAGUGCUGCUGAAAAUUUUUCGCAGGAAACCUUGAGCAGUCUUGAGAACUCUAUUAUAUCUCGGUGUAGAAAAGUUAGAAUUGAGUUCCGUUUAUUGCAUUUGAAAGUAGAUUCACAGUAUUUUGUACCAUGAAAAUUUUAGAAAUUUUCUCAAUUCCUAUGAAUAUCUGUAAUUUUCCAAAGUUGACUGAAUUUCCAUUCC